UAUUUUCUUACUUUUACCUUCUUUUCCAAAGUCAAUAUAGUUUGGGAUGCUGACUGGUUGGUUUGAAUGUUGAAUAUAGGGUUUUGGGUUUUGGUUCUGUGUUUCAGAUUCGAUGCUUCAUUUUGGGGCCGAGAUGUCUACAUCUUGUUAAGUAUAUUGUCUACAUCCUGAUUUAUAAGAGGUGGUAACGAGAAAUAUUUUGGCAGGUCGUUGGUGAUGUAUUGAAUCAAGUUUAAAAAUUUAGGCAUAUUUUGAAAACUUUACAUUUGAUAGCAUGUGGAAAUGACAAAACACUAUUAUUGUAUUUUGUUUUUUGGUUGUGUUGGGUGAUUGUUUUACUUAUAUAUGAUGAUUCAGUCUUACUUAUAUAUAUUGUGCCAAACUUCUUU